GCCGGGCAUGGUGGCGCAUGCCUGUAGUCUCAGCUACUCCAGAGGUUGAGGUGGAAGAAUCGCUUGAACCCAGGAGGCAGAGGUGCAGUGAGCUGAGAUGCCGCCACUGCACUCCAGCCUGGGUGACAGAGCAAGACUCUGUCUCAA
rnacentral:SRP_RNA from 1 species